GCCGGAGUCAUUGUUCCAACUUAUUUGUAUGAGUUAAUGCUCCUCCAUACUCAGAAGCCUCUUCCAGAGCUCACUCAUUAGUCAAAUCUGUUUUUUCACUAAUCAAUUAUAUUCUUUUGUAAACUAGUUAAUCUGAAGGAAAGUGAGUUAGCUAAUUUGGAAAAAACAAGUGUUUAAAUCUUGGUAAUAUAAUGUUUUCAUGAAAAGCGCUUCUCUAAAUUAGAGUCAAGUUGCAUAUGUGAAUAAUGCAAGUGGUUGUGGAAUUUUAGGAAUGGGUCUUUAUCACCAUGUCCCAUCUCACUAGAGUUUCCUCUCUUCUCAGGUGUUCUUUUUUAACAGGUGUACCAUAUAUAAACUGCUUCAUUCCUUGUUGAAAAAAAGAAGUGUGAAAGGACAAUAGGUGUAUAUGAGAGGGAAAAGUCAGAGAGAGGCAUCAGGAGGCAUGAAGCAUACUGGCAUGAGGCCUGCAGUGGACAAACACACAGAUCUUCAUCACUACAAAAAAGAUGCCUUGAUUUUCUCCCAUCCCAUCAAGCCAAACCUCAGAGGACCGCAGGAGGGAGAACUUGUAAGUCUUUACAAUGCUCAUCAGCAUUAUUUAAGAAGCAACAUCGCACAGGUCAGAAAGUCCUAUGAUGGCACUCUGAACUGACGCUCGACCUGUAAAACAAAUAGCAUAUUUUAAUACCUUAGUUGCAGGCUUAGGAAAAAGAACAACCAAAAUUUUUGCCUGUUGGGAGAUGAAAAUGACAUGGAAAUGAGGCCACUGGUAAGAACAACACAUACGGGAAAGUGUGAUUGUAUUAAUUACCUAAGGCUGUGUAACAGUUUCCCCAAAACUUAGUAGCUUAUUUUUUUAAAAGAUUUUAUUUAUUUCUUUGUUUUAGAGAGAGAGAGCACGAGUGGGGAUGGGGAGAGGCAGAAACAGGCUCUAUGCUCAGCAGGAGCCUGACUCAGGGUUUGAUCCCAGGACCCUGAGUUGAUGACCUGAGCUGAAGGCAGAUGCUUCGCCAACUGAGCCACCCAGGCAUCCCAAAAACUUAUUAGUUUAAAACAGUAAGAAACAUUUAUUACUUCACACAGUUUCAGUGCAUCUGGAACUGUUGAUUCUAUCUCAUGAUCUCUAAGGAGUUUAAAGUUAAGAUGACAGCCAAUGCUGCACUUGAAGGUUAGACUAGGGCUGGAUAAUCCACUUUCAAGAUGGUUUAUUCACAUAACUGGCAAGUCAGUGCUGGCAAGAGGAUUUACUUGGUCACCAUAUGGCUCCCUACAUGUCCUCACAAUAGUAUCUAGCUUCUCCAGAGUGGACAAUCCAAGACAGAGCCGGACAGAAGCCACAGCAUCUUUUAUAACCUAGUGCUGGAAAUCAUAGUGCGUCAAUUCCACAGUAUCCUAUUGGUUAGACAGGUCAUCCAUAUUCGGUGCAGCAGUGGACCACAUAAGGGUGUAAAGACUAGGAAGUGGGAAUCAUUGCAGGCUAUCUUGGAGGCUGGCCACCAUAAUGAUAGAGCCAUUUCUGUGCACACAAGAUUGAGUCGAGAUGCAUGUAUUGGUUGAGUGAUUAAUGGCACUGGACCAGUGGUCUCAGUGCAAGCUGCAAGCAGUGCCUGUAUCAGAAUGCCCUGAAGCACUUUAAAUGAUACUGAUUUCCCUGGCCUCUUCCCAUAUAUAGUCUGAUUAAAUCAAGGAUGAUGCUCAGAUCUAAGAAUUAUUGGAUUAGAUGAUCUCCAAGUUCAAGUCCAACCUUAACCCUGUUCCCCAAACUUUCCAGAUCAUGGGUGUGACCCAGGGAGUUUGUUUAAAAUACAGAGUUCCAGACCCCACCUCCAGUGUCAUGAAUUAGUAGCUCUAGGAAGGGCCCUAUAAAUCUGUAUUUCUGCUUGAUUUUUUAAAAUUUGGACCAAGUCAUUCAACAUGAUUGGAAAUUCUAAGAGGUAUGAAAGAAUUUCAUUAAGAAUUAUCUUUGCAAAAAAAAAAAAAAAAAAAAAAAAAGAAUUAUCUUUCCCAACCUUGUCCUCCCCAAAUCCCACCCAAUUCACCUUCCUAGAGAAGGUGAUCAUUAUCACUUUUUUGUGUGUGUGUAUAUAUUCUUCCAACAAUAAAUGAAUAUUUAAAACAUAUAUAUGUAUGUGU
ensembl:lncRNA